GAUGAAGAACGCAGCGAAAUGCGAUACGGAAUGUGAAUUGCAGAAUUCAGUGAAUCAUCGAAUCUUUGAACGCAUAUUGCGCUCUCUGGUAUUCCGGAGAGCAUGCUUGUUUGAGUAUCAGUAAACACCUCAACUUCCAUAUCUUUUUUGAAAUGGGAGUUGGACUUGAGUGAUCCCAACGCUUUUCCUCACCGAAAAGUGGCGGGUUACUUGAAAUGCAGGUGCAGCUGGACUUUUCUCUGAGCUAUAAGCAUAUCUAUUUAGUCUGCCUAAAAAACAGAUUAUUACCUUUGCUGCAGCUAACAUAAAGGAGAUUAGUUCUUGUGCUGACUGAUGCAGGAUUCACAAAGACAGGCUUCGGCCGACUUUGUAAACUCGAUCUCAAAUCAAGUAAGACUACCCGCUGAACUUAAGCAUAUCAAUAAGCGGAGGA
rnacentral:misc_RNA from 1 species